ensembl:lncRNA
AUGGGUUCAGAACAGACCGUCCGCCUGUGGGACUAUGGUGUGUGCUGGGGGCCGGGUGCCCAUGGAGCCAGGCCCCUUCAGGGGGAUGAGGCGGGGCUGGCGGGCAGACAGGCAGCACGGUGCAGGAGCUGCAAGCCCGAGGGGCUGAGGGCAGAAGAGCCAGACAUCAGGGCCGCCACUGAAGCCCCGACAGGAAGCCAGCCCCGACCCGUCAGCUGUCCCCACCCUUCUCCUCCCACCCCUCGGAAGAGCCCUCUGAGGGCAUCAGGCUCAGAGAAGGUGGCUAGAGGGAUCGAGUCCCCAGCCGUCGCAUCUCUGCUCACGGCCCCCGGUCGCGCGGUGGCCCCUUAGAAAGGAGGCAGGCCCAGCGUCAGCACCCCUUUCAGAAAGCUGAUGGGCCUCCUCCUUGGCCAGCAUCGGCUCCCAUGGGCAGGACUGCAGAAAAACCAGAGGCCCUGGAGAAAAGGGCUCCCCGCGGGCUCCACCUCCAAGCUCCCAGCCCGAAGCCCCCCGCAGGGCCUGGGCCGGAGCCAGGGCACUUCCGCGGGCCGCCAGCCCCCCGGGACACAGCCAGGAUUGUCCAGCCCGCCGCAGGCGUCGGCCGCAGCUGAGGGGACAAGGCCCGGCUGUUCCUGCAGACAAGCGGGCAGCUCUCUUCCCACAUGACAAGGGAACCUGUGUCCCCGGGGGAGGAGACAAGCAGAGGGAAGGGGCCAGGGCAGACCCAGGUGGGGCCGUAAACACCCCUCCCUGGAGUCCCCCAUGCCCGGAGCGGAGCCAGGGAGGGGAGGGCAGCACGGGUCCUGAGAAGCCCCCCAGCCUGCCACAAAAGGGGGACAGACGGCCUGCCAGCAGGGCCGAAAGACGGGGCUGUGAGCGUGCACGCACGCGAGGGCUUCUAGAGAUGGGCUCGUUUAUGCUGAGCCUCAUUCAAGACAGCAGCAGCUUCUAUUUAAUGAGUAGGUUUUAAUCAAGGAUAAAGACCUAGACAGAUCCUGCCAGGACCCUUCCAGCAGGAACUGACAGAACACUGUGCAUUAACUAGAGUGUAAACCUAAGGGUAACAGCCGUGGAGUUGAGGAGGCGGGGGGUGCACCUCCUUCCAGGUGUGGCCACACCAGAGGCUCCAGCGACGCCGUAGGACCAGCUGUGCGCCAGCUCUGGCUCCCGCCGAGGGAGGUGCCUCUGGCCAUCUGCACAGCCUGCCAUUCUGGAGACCAAGGAGCGCUGCCUUCCCGGUGACGCUGACCAGACAUCCCUCCAUCACACGGACAUGUCAUGCAGCCAGGGUCCUGUGCGUCCCCGGACCUGUUCCCAGGCUCAGGAGGCAGAGCUCUGAUUGGCAAGGCCUGAGCCACACUUCUACCUCUGAAGCUGGGGAAAGAGGUCAGCUCCACUCGGCCAGUAAGGAUGGGGUGUGCCGGAAGGGAAAGCUGCAGACUUUUCCCUUUAAACAUCAGCCAUCGGCUAUAAAUGUGAAGAGCACACCGUAUCACCCUCCCCACAUGAAGGGGGAGGGGUUGGGGGUACAACCUGCAAGAAUCGAGAGAAUGAGGCUAACGUGCAAAGGAAAAACAGACCAGAGUCCUAACAAAUUCAUUUGAGUCCCUGGAUCAAGCUCUGCCUGAAAGUCACACCAGAUACAUGAGCAAAUAGAUUUCUUGUUUGUGUUAUGUAGUGUGAAGUGUUUUUUUGUCACUUAGCAUGUGUAAAUGCCUUAACUCUCUCCCACCUAGACGGUGAGCUCCAAGAGAUCAGAAACCAUAUCUUUUCUAUCUCUGUAUACCUACCACCUGGCACAGGGUUUGGCAUGGAGUAGGUACUUGAAGAGUACUUGUUGAAUGAAUGAGCAAAUGUUACUAAUGAUGGUGAAAUUUCUCACCGUCCUCUGCAAACUCUCAGAAUUUGUGGAACAUGUUCAUCGGCCUCAUUGCACCUAAAUAUACAGCACCUUCCGCAGUCCCCACAGCAUCUGUCAGACUCUGGUGGGGCAGCUGGCCUGGGCCCACUCUACAGGAAGAAUGCAGGCUGAGGAUAUUGCCCAGCCUUCCUCAGGGACAGUCAUUUGUCGGGUGCCGAUUCAGCCGUCUUGGAGAAGCCCACUCACGACACUAGAGAGCCACCUUUUGGACAGGUGAUGUCUGGGCCUCCUCAGAGGGUAUCCCCUCUCCAGGGUCUCCCUGCAGAGCCGCUGAGCACGUAGGACUCCUGCGAAGCAAGGCAGGCAAAGCCUCGGACAUAUUUAAGAGCGAGUUGGAAGUCGUUAGCUCCCAUUUUAAUUUAACAAGCCCAAUUUUAUAAAUAAGACUGAAUUUUCCCAGGCUAUUAUUUCUAAUUAUGCAUUUACAUCAAUUCACAUUAUGCGGUUGAUGAAAUGUUAAUACCAAAGGCAAUUUUCUGCUGAUGGGCGGCAUGGAGAAGAGCUUUCUUCACAUUACAAGUCAAUAUUUUUGGAAAUAAUUACCGAGUUGCUCACCAAAGUUUGCACUGACUAACGCAGUUGUUGCAUCUACGUAGUCCCCAACUGGAGAGACUAAGAGGGAAAUCCCCUGACAGGGAGCGAGGGGAAGAGACCGAGGACUCAGGGAGCUGAGCCAGGGACCCGGAGCAGCUCCAAGGGCUGGCCGCUGCUGGCAACCAGGCUUCCCUUAGCUCCACUUGGAGAAGGAAAUGGCAGCCCACUCCAGGACCCUUGCCUGGAAAAUUCCAUAGAUGGAGGAGCCUGGUAGGCCACAGUCCACAGGAUCACAAAGAGUCCAGUGAUUCACUGGCUCAGCUCCACCAUGUACCAGACUAAAUGGCUCCAGGACACAGACUUUUCAUCUGCGCCAUGGGAAUGAUCAUAGCAACUCUCCCACAGGGUGUUAAUGCCUCUAUGCCUUCAUUCAUUUAUUUGUCCAAGAGGAAUCUAUUGUAGAUCUAUUUGGUAUUGGUACUCAAUAAAUGGUAAGGAUGCUUAUGAGGAGAAGAAGGAAACACUCUGGACCUCCUAACAGAGCAGGCUGGAGGUGCCUCUCACCCUAAGUGACAACACAGGGCCGGUGGAGCCCUGCAAGAAGGCCAGAGGACCAACACUCAGGCCCCAGCAGCUUCACACAGCUUCCUGCAUAAGGGAGGCAAGCGCUGGGUUCCAGGGCUGCAGGAGGCCUCGGCACGGCACGGGGGCGGCGGGCCAGCUACUGAGACAGAGAUGACCACCAGGACCGCCCCAGACCAAGCUUGCGGAGGGAACGCACAAGCCUCAGGCGGACAUCCUCCAAGUCCUCCGUGGCAUCUAUACGGAAGCCCGUGCAGGCAAAGGACCACUUCCAUCUGAGCUAGAGAAGCGGGCCUGGGACUAAGUUGUGAGGAGUCCAACUCAGCAGCAUGAGAAAGAUGACCAGUGACAAGGAGACUGGGGGGUGUGGCCAGGGUAGUGGGGGGAAGCCGAGAUGGGACAUCGCAAAAGCCAAGGGAGCAAGCGCUUCCAGGAGAGGAGCACGCCCAGCUCUGCCGACGUGUCCAGGUAAGGACUAGACAGCACUCCCGAGGCUGGAGAAGUCGGGCGCGCCGAGGUGUCACCGCAGGAGUGGUGGCAGUGAAGAAACAGGGUGGAGCCGUGCUGAGAAGGGCCGGCGACAGGGACACCGCGGACCGCCCCAAGGCCACCGCUUCCCAACCUCAGCGCCUCCCCCGGCGAUCUCUGGGCUCAGACACGCCUGCGCAGAACAAGCGAGAGACCCCGGGAACCGAAAAGAGAAGAGAGCCAGGUUCAAGGAUAACAUUCUCACCUCAGCUUAAAAUAGACAGAAAACGCAGCAGAACCGCACCUCAUGGAGACCUGCAGCCUCACCAGUGUCCCCGCCGCGGGUCCAGGGUGCAGCCCAGACCUGCGUCAGCAUCUGCACAGUUGCAGAGAGCCCACCCCAGAGUGUCCUGCCUCUGGGGCCACUGGGGCUGGUGACGCCGCACACUGGGCCUGGAGCCAGCGUUAGCCUGCAGACCCUGCAGCGUGUGUUUCUGUAGUGAAACCAACAAUUAAAAAUUAGAUUUCUUGUAAACUCCUGGGUUUCCAGCUUCAUCUGAGACUGAAACAGCAGGCCUCUCAGGGUCUUCACCGAGCCGUGCCCCCCAGGCAGGGUGUGAUGGGGCGCUCUGUCCCCUGCCCCCCAGCACCUCGGAGACCAGCCCCACCCCUGUGCACGUCAUCCCAGCCCACAGGCCUGCGAGUCCACACACGGGACCUUGGGCCUCCGAGAGAGACCUGAGNNNNNNNNNNNNNNNNNNNNNNNNNNNNNNNNNNNNNNNNNNNNNNNNNNNNNNNNNNNNNNNNNNNNNNNNNNNNNNNNNNNNNNNNNNNNNNNNNNNCUGCGAGUCCACACACGGGACCUUGGGCCUCCGAGAGAGACCUGAGACGCAGCACAUGGGGAGAGGAUGCGCCUCCAAGAGACAGCUGAGGCUCAGUACACGGGGAGAGGGUACACCCGUGCUGUGCGGGCAGGGGCCUCUUCCGGCGGCUCCAAGCCAGUCCAAAGUCCCCUCCACUCCCCACCCCAGAGCAGCCAGGCAGAAGACAGGACA